UGUCUGGUCUGUAACUGACGCUGAGGCUCGAAAGUAUGGGUAGCAAACAGGAUAGAUACCUGGUAGUCCGUACCGUAAACGAUGAAUGCUAAGUGUUGGAGGGUUUCCCCCUUCAGUGCUGCAGCUAACGCAUUAAGCAUUCCGCCUGGGGAGUACGGCUGCAAGGCUGAAACUCAAAGGAAUUGACGGGGGCCCGCACAAGCGGUGGAGCAUGUGGUUUAAUUCGAAGCUACGCGAAGAACCUUACCAGGUCUUGACAUACUAUGCAAAUCUAAGAGAUUAGACGUUCCCUUCGGGGACAUGGAUACAGGUGGUGCAUGGUUGUCGUCAGCUCGUGUCGUGAGAUGUUGGGUUAAGUCCCGCAACGAGCGCAACCCUUAUUAUCAGUUGCCAGCAUUAAGUUGGGCACUCUGGUGAGACUGCCGGUGACAAACCGGAGGAAGGUGGGGAUGACGUCAAAUCAUCAUGCCCCUUAUGACCUGGGCUACACACGUGCUACAAUGGAUGGUACAACGAGUUGCGAACUCGCGAGAGUAAGCUAAUCUCUUAAAGCCAUUCUCAGUUCGGAUUGUAGGCUGCAACUCGCCUACAUGAAGUCGGAAUCGCUAGUAAUCGCGGAUCAGCAUGCCGCGGUGAAUACGUUCCCGGGCCUUGUACACACCGCCCGUCACACCAUGAGAGUUUGUAACACCCAAAGUCGGUGGGGUAACCUUUAGGAACCAGCCGCCUAAGGUGGGACAGAUGAUUAGGGUGAAGUCGUAACAAGGUAACCAAGGGCGAAUUCCAG
rnacentral:rRNA from 1 species